UAUAUUCCUUAUCCCCUCAUAAAUGGAUUAUUGCAUAAAAUCCCCUUGUGCAAGGAGUCUUCUAGGGAAAGUAGGCCAGAUUAAGUAGUGUCAUUCUUCAUUGUACGCUCAUGGAUUGUUCUAAUGUUUGGUUCUUUGAUGGAUUGUUCCCUCGGUUCUUAUCUUUGCAGAUAAACCUUAAGUGUGCUCCUAUACUUGUAAAAUCACAUGUUUUACACUCUACUGUACUGGGAUCUGAUGACUGCAACAACUAAUGGAAUAUAUUAUCAUGGCAAAGACUCAUGAAGCCACAAAUCAUGGUUGCUGUUCCCUUGGAAGAGUUGGUUUGUCGUGAGAGAUCCAUUUCCACGGUUAAAACACUACUGAAAUUGUAAAGAGAUUUUGAGGUCUUCGUCUCAUUCAAGGUAUUUCAUAAUUGCGCAUUUGAUCAGCUUGCAGAAAGUGUCCUGGAGAUGGAAAGUAGGUUUGAGGACUUCAUCUGCUGGAUGGGAUACACAUAACAUAAACCUGGAAGUCCCUAACGAAAUCUCUAUUCAUGAAAUUGGUCCUGCUUAACAUUUAAACAUGGAGAUCAUCACAUCUUCCAUGUUAUUGAGAUAGUGAGAUGAUGCCCUUGAACUAUGGUCUAUCAGCUGAACUAGACUUGCUGGUGAGCCCAGCUGAAAUCACCUGGCUACUGUUUGAGCCCAGCCCAGUCACCUAUUUCUAGAGGUGUAAAGUUGACCGCCUCAGCCCACAGGUUGCCCAAAGCCUUGGUGGACUGGUGGGCCGAAUGGGGUCGGCCUUUUUUAAUAAAAAUGUGAAAGCAGUAUGUUAUUGACUUAUUGCAAGGUUUGAACCUGUUACCCAAUGGAUAAAAUCAAUUCGUGCUCUGAUUCGCGCAAUCGCGCAUCAUAAACUUUUUUUUUUUAUGGGGAUAAACGUUUUUAAACCACUAAUCCUAAUUCCUAUCCACUACAUGUCAACUUCAUUUUAUAAUAAU